rnacentral:lncRNA from 1 species
AUGCAGUCACCAAACCUAUUAUGUCUAGCUGCACAACAUGAGAAAGGACAUGUUUUAAAAAAAGCAGAGUUUUUUGACAAACGGAAUCAGGAUGACGCAAAGCCAAAAAUAAAUGAAGCACAAGAGGAUCUGGAGGAGGCAGAUACAGACACAGGGGGAUCUGCAAACAUAACACAGAAAGACCAAGAGGAGAGGAUACAAGUGACACAGGACGAAAAGGAUGAGAAGACAGAACUGACACAGGGAGACAUGGAGGAGGAGACAGCAGAGAAUACACAACAUGAGAAAGGACAUGUUUUAAAAAAAGCAGAGUUUUUUGACAAAUGGAAUCAGGAUGACUCAAAGACAAAAAUAAAUGAAGCACAAGAGGAUCUGAAGGAGGCAGAUACAGACACAGGGGGUUCUGCAAACAUAACACAGAAAGACAAGGAGGAGAGGACACAAGUGAGACAGGACGAAAAGGAUGAGAAGACAGAACUGACACAGGGAGACAUAGAGGAGAAAACAGUGGCGAAUGCACAACAUGGGAAAGGUAACAUGAAGGUGUAUAGUACUUUAGGUCUGCUUUGCCUCUUCAGAACUAGGAAAUUAUAUGAAAACACAAUUUUCUAUCUUAGGCACAAAAUAUUACUGUAGUUGCUAAUGCCAUGAAGUACCUUAAUGAAAGAAACAUUUAGUGCAGAGUUUUUUAUAAGGAAUCUAAGCCACAUCCUAAAUAGCUCCUCUGUUCAUGACUUCUUUAAGACUGCAUUACACUAAGUUUUGCCGUUCUGUGUAGACCAUUUCCAGUCUCUCUAAACCUGAAGAGGAGGUGUCUGACUUGCAUUUUAAGGAAAGAAAAGAGCAUCAUCAAAAUCCAACAAGACCCAUCAACC